UACGUAGGGUGCGAGCGUUGUCCGGAAUUAUUGGGCGUAAAGAGCUCGUAGGCGGUGUGUCACGUCGUUCGUGAAAACCUGCAGCUUAACUGUGGGCGUGCGGUCGAUACGGGCAUCACUGGAGUUCGGCAGGGGAGACUGGAAUUCCUGGUGUAGCGGUGAAAUGCGCAGAUAUCAGGAGGAACACCGGUGGCGAAGGCGACUACCUGGCCUGUUCUUGACGCUGAGGCGCGAAAGCUAGGGGAGCAAACGGG
rnacentral:rRNA from 1 species